GGGUCAGUAGGUUGGUCGUGCCACCGGUACGUACUGGUCUCACUGAUUCCUCCUUCCUGAAGAACCGUAAUGCCAUCAAUUUGGUGUUGCGGGGAAACAGGACUGUUACUUUGAAAAAAUUAGAGUGUUUAAAGCAAGCUAACGCUUGAAUACAUUAGCAUGGAAUAAUGGAAUAGGACGAUCGAUCCUAUUUUGUUGGUUUCUAGGAUUGACGUA
rnacentral:rRNA from 1 species